UUGCAAUACUGCUGGAUCAUAAUUAAUAUAUUACUCCCUAAUUACUGCAGACCUGCCUUCACCAACGCACAAUAUCACAAUUCUGAAAUAUUUCUAAUCUAACUUACCUUUUCGAAAGCAGAAAGAUUUCUAACUGUAUCCCCACUUCUAGUAUGAUUUGUAUCACCUAAGAAAACACACACACACACAUAAAUAAAAUCUUUAAGCAGCUAUGUGAACAGUUCCUGUUGUUUUAUUCUUGCUUAUUUGGUGCACCAAAAGCGUUGGUUCCUUACCAGUUUACCAGAGAUUCUACAACACACUUGGGACCAUUUUUUGCUCAGUUGUAAAAUAUUAAUUUCCUUAUUUCUCAUCUUUAUAUAUAAAAGUAAGGUUGUGUGUCUGUCUCCAACGAUUUAGAUUCCUAACUACUCCCACAUUUUGCGGUGCAGUUUAACCAAAACCGGGUAUCUUAUAGUCGUGAUUCAUAUCGAGCCCUUCUUGGUAUUAGCGCGCGUCUGCGAUGAGUCUACGAUUUAAAAAAAAAUUUACCAUCAUUUUUUUCCAUUUUAAUGCAUUUUUCGCUAUCAUAUAAGGGAAGUAACUCUCUAAAAAUGUCUACGAUGAGUCAACGAUUUAAAAAAAAAUUUACCAUAAUUUUUUUUCCAUUUUUAAUGCAUUAUUUUGCUAAUUUUUGGCUAUAACUCUCUAAAAAUGCUUAUAUAGUUAUUUCCCUUACAAACCCGAGCAACGCCGGGCGAUACUGCUAGUUACAUAUAAAGUUUCUGAAUUUCCUUGAUGUUCGUCGGUUUUUAUGACCUCUCUCAUCAAGAUGUGUUUUACUCUUGUCUAUAUUUCUCUUCAGAAAUUCUGAAACAAGUCCAAUCUUUUCACAUUGCUAAUUUUUAUUCUAGUGGUUUGAUUGAGUAUGUAAUGAAAACUGUAUUUCCAAUAAAUACAUGUUCUUGUAGGUGUCAAAUUUCAACCUCUAGCAUAGUAAUUUCAAGGUUAUUGAUGAAAUUGUAAUAUGAUCACAGUGCACACUAUGCUUCAUUUCCUACUGAAUUCACUUCUAAUCUUCCUUUUAACCCAUACACACAUCAAACAGUAAGCUUUCUUACUGCUUUCCAAGCUACAAAGAAUAAAAAACCUAUUAAUAUCAUUUACUAGAUUAACAAAUGGUAAUUAGAACUAAGUAUUAAUUUUAUAAUUUUGCUUCAUACAUUUUUUAGAGUAGUUUCACUAGAUAUUGUCCUGGAUAUGAAUUUAAACUGCAUCAGGUAGUGAGGCCCUGGUUUGGGAAUUGCAGGAUUUUGAGAAGUGUGGAACCACCUCUUAGUCACUAUUGUUUCCAGAUCAGCUGUCAGGGUUCCAGCUAUGGGUUAAUUAUUAUGUCACUGAAUUAUCUCUUCAAAAAGGUCACUCACAGGCACCCUAGCAGACAGAUGAACCCCUUAAAGCUCUUAAGCUACUGAUCUGAGAGAAGGUAACUCCAUACAAAUCCUACUUUCUGAAAAUUACGGGGAUCAUGACACUUGCACUAGAACAGUACAAGUUUGAAAAUUAAUUCUUAGUUCUAAUUGCCAGUAGUUAAUCUAGUAAAUGGUAUUAAUAGGUUUUCAUUCUCUGUAGCUUGGAGAAAGCUUACUGCUUGAUGUUUGAUAGGGGUCAAAGUGAAGAUUAUUGUAAGUUCAGUGGGAAAUGAAGCAUGGAGUACUCUGUGAUUAUAUUACAUAUUGCUUUUGUGCAACAAGUGUCAUGAGAGUGGGACUGUUCUGUACAAACCAUGGCCACUAUAAUAAUAUCCAUCAUGCAGGUUCUUCAGCAGACCAAGACACCAGCACACUUGCUGAACCCUCAUUCAUCAAAACAAUGAGUGAACCCAGUCAGUCACUAAAUAUAAAACAUCUGUAAUUCUUUGACUUUUUAUACCCAAAAUAUGCCCUAUUCAACUGAAAACUAUUUAACUCCAGCCAUGUGAUUCUUUAUUACCCCAUCUUUUUACUACACUAUCCAUUUGCUUGAAAUCCCUGUAAUUUCUUGUCUCCAAUGCAUCUUCUCACUUCUUGUAAUAACUUUUUUUCGUCAUAUUUAUAUUGAAAUAUGCUGCAUUUGUAUCUGUUAAUUUUUAAUAUAACAAAGGAUUUAAUAAAAUAACUUUGUUAUUAUUAAACUGGUAUCUGGAACAUAAAUUAGGAAAUGUUGAUGUGUGAUUUCAAUUUAUAUCACUUUAAAACAGGAAGUUUGUAUCAUAGAACCAAGGGAUCUCAGUGGAAUAGUAUCACACAAUGCUUUUACUAUACCAGCCAUUAAAGUAUUUUUUUCAUACAACCAUAGUGGCUAUGUGAUUAAGGAGUUGGCUUCCAAACUAUGUAGUUUGGGGUUCAGUCCCACUGCAUAGCACCUUGGGCAAGUGUCUUCUGUUAUACUCCUGAGAUAAUCAACACCUUGUUCAAGCAAAAUAAAUAUCAUCAUCAUCAUCAUCAUCAUCGUUUAACGUCUGUUCUCCAUGCUAGCAUGGGUUGGACGGUUCGACCGGGGAUCUGGGUAGCCAGAAGGCUGCACCAGGCUCCAGUCUUAUCUGGCAAUGUUUCUACAGCUGGAUGCCCUUCCUAAUGCCAACCACUCCGUGAGUGUAGUGGGUGCUUUUUACGUGCCACCUGCACAGGUGCCAGGUGAGGCUGGCAACGGCCAUGGUCGGAUUGGUGUAUUUUACGUGCCACCGGCACGGAAGCCAGUCGAGGCGGCGCUGGCAUCGGCCACGAUUCGGAUAGUGCUUUUUACGUACCACCAGACCAGGGAUCCUGGCUGGUUCAAUUCGAUUUCGAUUUCGCUUGCCCCAACAUGUCUUCGCAAGCAAAGGAGGUUGGCAUGGGUGCCUGUCGUCAGAUGAGGUUCUAUAUCGACUUCGCUUGCCUCAACAGGUCUUUGUGUCCAAGGGAGGAAAGGUAUGCAUAAGUGGGCUGGGCUCACUUGUCCUGCCUGGUCUUCUCACGUACAGCAUAUUUCCAAAUGUAUGUAUGUAUGUAUGUAUGUAUGUACGUAUGUAUGUUUGUAUGUAUGUAUGUAUAUGUGUGUGAUUGUGUACGUACGUAUGUACAUACAUACAUACAUGAUAGUUGUAAAUAACUGUCACUGUCAUGCAAAUGUUGUCAUUAAUUUCCAAUCUUCUAUUACAGCCUGCCUGAUUAUGGGGAAAUAUUGCCAUGUUAAGAAGCAAGAAAGAAUUGUCAACAGGACCGGCAUCCAUUGAAUUCCAUUUGACCAAUGCAAGCAUGGAGAAAUGGACAACAAUGUUGAUGAUAAUAUUAUAUAUGAUGGACAUUAAUAACUUCAGUGACUUGACAGCAUAAACAUCGCAAAGCCUUAUUCCAUAUCUUUUUCUUUAUCCCCUCACAGAUCACCACUUUAUUGACCCUGUAAGAUGUAAGUUUAUCCAAUCCUAUUCAUACCUUUUAUUAAUCAACCAAUCAUAGUAGCACUUUGUAAUUUCAUCAUUUUCAUUUCCUUGUAGUCAAAUUUUUCUUUAGUAACAUUCCUGAUUCCUCCUAAUUUGCUGUACUGAAAUUCAAAACAUUGUACACAAGCUCCCAAGUCAUAAAACAUGAGAAAACAUCUUACUAUUUUUGUUUAAGUUAAGUAAACUUGACAUUUAGCUCUAUGUAGCCUUGAGUUACAUGUUCUUAUCUCC
rnacentral:lncRNA from 1 species